GCCCCUGUAGCUUAAUCGCAGAGCGUUGCAAAGACAAAGGUGACGGUGCAAGUCCGUCUUGCGGGCG
rnacentral:tRNA from 1 species